GAUGAAGAACGUAGCGAAAUGCGAUACUUGGUGUGAAUUGCAGAAUCCCGUGAACCAUCGAGUGUUUGAACGCAAGUUGCGCCCGAAGCCGUCAGGCCGAGGGCACGCCUGCCUGGGCGUCACACGCCGUUGCCCACCCGCGCCCCGCACCCAACUCUUUGGGAGCGACCGCGGGGCGGGCUGAUGAUGGCCUCCCGUGCGCUCCGCCGCGCGGUUGGCCCAAAUACCGAGUCCCCGGCGACGUGCGCCACGACGAUCGGUGGUUGAGAGACCUCUGUCGCAAGUCGUGCGCGCCCGUCGCGUCACGCGGGCUCGCAUAGCGCCUCGCGCCGCACCCGGUGCGGAGCUUUCAACGCGACCCCAGGUCAGGCGGGGUUACCCGCUGAAUUUAAGCAUAUCAAUAAGCGGAGGA
rnacentral:misc_RNA from 1 species